GAUGAACGCUGGCGGCGUGCCUAAUACAUGCAAGUCGAGCGAGCAGAUGAGGAGCUUGCUCCUCUGACGUUAGCGGCGGACGGGUGAGUAACACGUGGAUAACCUACCUAUAAGACUGGGAUAACUUCGGGAAACCGGAGCUAAUACCGGAUAAUAUAUUGAACCGCAUGGUUCAAUAGUGAAAGACGGUUUUGCUGUCACUUAUAGAUGGAUCCGCGCCGCAUUAGCUAGUUGGUAAGGUAACGGCUUACCAAGGCAACGAUGCGUAGCCGACCUGAGAGGGUGAUCGGCCACACUGGAACUGAGACACGGUCCAGACUCCUACGGGAGGCAGCAGUAGGGAAUCUUCCGCAAUGGGCGAAAGCCUGACGGAGCAACGCCGCGCGAGUGAUGAAGGUCUUCGGAUCGUAAAACUCUGUUAUUAGGGAAGAACAAGUGUGUAAGUAACUAUGCACGUCUUGACGGUACCUAAUCAGAAAGCCACGGCUAACUACGUG
rnacentral:rRNA from 1 species